CUGCAAUGUGCAAGAGGUAAGUUUAGCAGAACAUUCUGGAAAGUAUAACCAUAGAGGGUGAUAGUCCCGUAUGCGAAAAACAAACCUUAGCUAGCAGUAUCCUGAGUAGGGCGGGACACGAGGAAUCCUGUCUGAAUCCGGGUCGACCACGAUCCAACCCUAAAUACUAAUACCAGAUCGAUAGUGCACAAGUACCGUGAGGGAAAGGUGAAAAGAACUGAGGUGAUCAGAGUGAAAUAGAACCUGAAACCAUUUGCUUACAAUCAUUCAGAGCCCUAUGUAGCAAUACAGGGUGAUGGACUGCCUUUUGCAUAAUGAGCCUGCGAGUUGUGGUGUCUGGCAAGGUUAAGCAAACGCGAAGCCGUAGCGAAAGCGAGUCUGAAUAGGGCGCUUAGUCAGAUGCUGCAGACCCGAAACGAAGUGAUCUAUCCAUGAGCAAGUUGAAGCUAGUGUAAGAACUAGUGGAGGACUGAACCCAUAGGCGUUGAAAAGCCCCGGGAUGACUUGUGGAUAGGGGUGAAAGGCCAAUCAAACUUCGUGAUAGCUGGUUCUCUCCGAAAUAUAUUUAGGUAUAGCGUUGUGUCGUAAUAUAAGGGGGUAGAGCACUGAAUGGGCUAGGGCAUACACCAAUGUACCAAACCCUAUCAAACUCCGAAUACCUUAUAUGUAAUCACAGCAGUCAGGCGGCGAGUGAUAAAAUCCGUCGUCAAGAGGGAAACAACCCAGACUACCAGCUAAGGUCCCUAAAUCUUACUUAAGUGGAAAACGAUGUGAAGUUACUUAAACAACCAGGAGGUUGGCUUAGAAGCAGCCAUCCUUUAAAGAAAGCGUAAUAGCUCACUGGUCUAGUGAUUUUGCGCGGAAAAUAUAACGGGGCUAAAGUAAGUACCGAAGCUGUAGACUUGCACACAACUUAGAUUAUUUAAGUUUAGAAUAUGAGAAACUAAGUUAUAUGUUUAGUUAUAUUUUUACUGAUUUUUAUAGAGUAAAGAUAGAAAUAAAACUUAGUAAAAUCAGUAAAAAUAUUCUUAGACUAAAGUUAAGUAGUUUAAGUUGUGUGCAAGUGGUAGGAGAGCGUUCUAUUUGCGUCGAAGGUAUACCGGUAAGGAGUGCUGGAGCGAAUAGAAGUGAGCAUGCAGGCAUGAGUAGCGAUAAUUAAUGUGAGAAUCAUUAACGCCGUAAACCCAAGGUUUCCUACGCGAUGCUCGUCAUCGUAGGGUUAGUCGGGUCCUAAGUCGAGUCCGAAAGGGGUAGACGAUGGCAAAUUGGUUAAUAUUCCAAUACCAACAUUAGUGUGCGAUGGAAGGACGCUUAGGGCUAAGGGGGCUAGCGGAUGGAAGUGCUAGUCUAAGGUCGUAGGAGGUUAUACAGGCAAAUCCGUAUAACAAUACUCCGAGAACUGAAAGGCUUUUUGAAGUCUUCGGAUGGAUAGAAGAACCCCUGAUGCCGUCGAGCCAAGAAAAGUUUCUAAGUUUAGCUAAUGUUGCCCGUACCGUAAACCGACACAGGUGGGUGGGAUGAGUAUUCUAAGGCGCGUGGAAGAACUCUCUUUAAGGAACUCUGCAAAAUAGCACCGUAUCUUCGGUAUAAGGUGUGGUUAGCUUUGUAUUAGGAUUUACUCCGAAAGCAAGGAAACUUACAACAAAGAGUCCCUCCCGACUGUUUACCAAAAACACAGCACUCUGCUAACUCGUAAGAGGAUGUAUAGGGUGUGACGCCUGCCCGGUGCUCGAAGGUUAAUUGAUGGGGUUAGCAUUAGCGAAGCUCUUGAUCGAAGCCCGAGUAAACGGCGGCCGUAACUAUAACGGUCCUAAGGUAGCGAAAUUCCUUGUCGGUUAAAUACCGACCUGCAUGAAUGGCGUAACGAGAUGGGAGCUGUCUCAAAGAGGGAUCCAGUGAAAUUGUAGUGGAGGUGAAAAUUCCUCCUACCCGCGGCAAGACGGAAAGACCCCGUGGACCUUUACUACAGCUUGACACUGCUACUUGGAUAAGAAUGUGCAGGAUAGGUGGGAGGCUUUGAGUAUAUGACGCCAGUUGUAUAUGAGCCAUUGUUGAGAUACCACUCUUUCUUAUUUGGGUAGCUAACCAGCUUGAGUUAUCCUCAAGUGGGACAAUGUCUGGUGGGUAGUUUGACUGGGGCGGUCGCCUCCCAAAUAAUAACGGAGGCUUACAAAGGUUGGCUCAGAACGGUUGGAAAUCGUUCGUAGAGUAUAAAGGUAUAAGCCAGCUUAACUGCAAGACAUACAAGUCAAGCAGAGACGAAAGUCGGUCUUAGUGAUCCGGUGGUUCUGUGUGGAAGGGCCAUCGCUCAAAGGAUAAAAGGUACCCCGGGGAUAACAGGCUGAUCUCCCCCAAGAGCUCACAUCGACGGGGAGGUUUGGCACCUCGAUGUCGGCUCAUCGCAUCCUGGGGCUGGAGCAGGUCCCAAGGGUAUGGCUGUUCGCCAUUUAAAGCGGUACGCGAGCUGGGUUCAGAACGUCGUGAGACAGUUCGGUCCCUAUCUGCCGUGGGCGUAAGAAGAUUGAAGAGAUUUGACCCUAGUACGAGAGGACCGGGUUGAACAAACCACUGGUGUAGCUGUUGUUCUGCCAAGAGCAUCGCAGCGUAGCUAAGUUUGGAAAGGAUAAACGCUGAAAGCAUCUAAGCGUGAAGCCAACUCUAAGAUGAAUCUUCUCUAAGCUCUCUAGAAGACUACUAGUUUGAUAGGCUGGGUGUGUAAUGGAUGAAAGUCCUUUAGCUGACCAGUACUAAUAGAGCGUUUGGCUUAUCUUUAAUAAAGCAU
rnacentral:rRNA from 1 species